CCGAACCUUAUUCACCCGAACCUUCUCCUCCUUCCCGAUUCUCUCUUCUCCCCUUCCUUUGUUCUCUCUUGCGGACGAAGCAAGCCGAGAGCUCCGGUGAUCUCCUUCUGCCGGCAUCGACCAGUACGCUCAGAUCCAGGCAAAGUCCCUUCUCCUGCCCGAUCCUUUCUUCUUCUUUCCGAUCGCCUUCGAUCGUCGCUGAAGCCUCACCAUCCCGACUUUGCCGUCGACCUAGGGGAGCAGACGCCGGUACAGAUCCGAUCGUGGAUGACCUUCUCCAGUCUUAGGUGAGAGCAUCGAUCUCUUUCUCCUCCCAGUGUUGUCGGCGACGCCACCGAUUCCGAUCACCUGCGAGCUCAUCAUAGCCCUAGGUCACCGACGCACCUUCUCUUCUUCUUCCUGGCGGCUGGAUUAGGUUACGGAUUUGGAGACAUUGGGGAUUAGUGAGGGAGGUGAGAUUCUGUUCUGUCCUUGCUGUGGUGUCUUUAGUUUCGGCAGGCACCUAAUUCAGCAGUGAGGAUCUGAUCUGUGGAGUUGUCUUGGUUCCAGUGGUGUUUCCGUGCCAGCAGUAAUCUCAUCUAGCAUAUUGUUUUGGUUUCAGCAAUCCACAGUAGCUUAAUCGAGGACUCUGAUUCGAGACGGGCGUCUCGACGUUGACUUCGGAUUUGGGAUUUUACCUUCUAUUUGAGGCGGGUACCCUUUGACCUAUCUUUUGAUAAUGUCUUAUGAUAUGUGUAGCUUAUAUAUAUUUACUAGUGCUAGAUAGUAGAUCAUUUCUUCCCUGGUUUUAGCUAGUUGAUACCUAUCACAUGUUUCAUCUGCUAGUUGCUUUAUUUCAGGAUUGGAUAUUAUAUCUCUUGCCAUGUGUAUAUAUGAUCAUAGAGAUGCAUAUCUAUAGUGCUCUACUC